UUUAGGAGAGAGAGUUUUCUGGGUGGAGAGCAGGUGACAUGUAGCAGAGCAGCUGCCAUGCUGCAUCCCCAAUGCACAAGCCUGAGCAUUGCCAGCAUGAGCGGAUUGGUGUUUGAAGGCCCAGAUGGCAACAGGGGAGCAGGAGCUCUUGUGCCCACAGCUCCUCCUCGUGGGCACGGGGGUUGCUGAAGUACAAACAACACGAGACUGUCAUGGAAACAACUUGGUGCUGGCCCUACUGUGCAACGCUGCAUAAAAGAGCUUUGCUCUUUCAGGGGAGCUCCUCUCGAGCCACUACUCUUUUCACUGAGAGCCCCGGGAUACCAGGGAAAGCCUCAGCUCUUCUUUUCUCCCUGAAACUCCUACACACCUGCCUGGGUGCUGUGUGAGAACCAGGCAGGACAGUGUGGUGGUGGUGGGUGCAGGUAUCAGCAGGCUGGUGGCCACCAAGUGCCUGGAAGAGGGGCUGGAGCCCACCUGCUUCAAGCAGAGCCAGGACAUCGGAGGCUCUGGUGCUACACAAAAUCCCCCACCAAUUCAAGGAGGACAAGCCAGAAGACCUGGGCUGACUCAUUACUCACUGGCUUGGCUAUUUUAGGACAAGUGAGGAUGGAUGAAUGUGUUUCUCUCGAACCAUCUGAGCUUGGGCAAAGGCUGAUGUGUAAUGCAGUGAUCCUGGAGCAAGCAAUGAAACAGACCCCUGAGCUCACCUAUCUUUCCUAUAUCUCCUGAUCCAGUAUAUACAAUCUGCAGUGUCCAAAAGUCUAGGUCCCAGCACCCUGGGAUUUUAGGUUGUACCCAAAGCUGUGCUGUACAACGCUCCUGGAGCCUUGGACACUCUUUCCAUCUCUUCUCCUUGCAGAUAUUGAGAAGUUCAAGGGCCAGUAUUUCCACAAGACCCAUGAGGGAUGUGAGGAGAAGAUCAUUUUGGCAUUUGGUCUGGGGAAUUUUGGAUUGGACAUCACAGUGGGGCUUUCCCCAGAAGCCAAGGAGAAGGUGGACCCCUCCAGAGCAGAGGGAGCAGUCACUGCUGGGUGGUCUGUACACACUAAGAUUACCUCCUAAGAUCAGAGCUGGCGUUCUGUUUAGCUAUGCUGCAAUCUUUCUUCAGGGAAAACAUAUAGUAGUGAUUAUCACAGAAUUACUGUGAACCAUGGAGCAUGAAGAUGCUGGCAUUUGCAUCCUUCAGACCAACACCUCUUUGGGCCACACUUUAAACGAAAAGAAAAAUAUAUUUCUUAUUUAUUUUCUGUCAUGAA